AGCGAACGCUGGCGGCAUGCCUUACACAUGCAAGUCGAACGGCAGCACGGGUGCUUGCACCUGGUGGCGAGUGGCGAACGGGUGAGUAAUAUAUCGGAACGUACCUUAUUGUGGGGGAUAACGCAGCGAAAGCUGUGCUAAUACCGCAUAAUCCCUAAGGGGGAAAGCGGGGGACCGUAGGGCCUCGCGCAAUUAGAGCGGCCGAUACCUGAUUAGCUAGUUGGGGAGGUAAAGGCUCAUCAAGGCAACGAUCAGUAGCUGGUCUGAGAGGACGAUCAGCCACACUGGGACUGAGAGACGGCCCAGACUCCUACGGGAGGCAGCAGUGGGGAAUUUUGGACAAUGGGGGCAACCCUGAUCCAGCAAUGCCGCGUGAGUGAAGAAGGCCUUCGGGUUGUAAAGCUCUUUUGUCAGGGAAGAAACAGCAGCUCUAACACAGUUUGCGAAUGACGGUACCUGAAGAAUAAGCACCGGUUAACUACGUGCCAGCCGCCGCCGUAAAAC
rnacentral:rRNA from 1 species